rnacentral:rRNA from 1 species
UACGGAGGGGGCUAGCGUUGUUCGGAAUUACUGGGCGUAAAGGGCGCGUAGGCGGCCUGGAAAGUCGGGUGUGAAAGCCCGGGGCUCAACCCCGGAAUUGCCUUUAAGACUGCAUCGCUUGAAUCCAGGAGAGGUGAGUGGAAUUCCGAGUGUAGAGGUGAAAUUCGUAGAUAUUCGGAAGAACACCAGUGGCGAAGGCGGCUCACUGGACUGGUAUUGACGCUGAGGUGCGAAAGCGUGGGGAGCAAACAGG